rnacentral:tRNA from 1 species
GGUUUCAUAGUUUAAUAAAAACAUUAGGUUGCAAACCUAAAGAUGUAAUGAUAUAUUGAAACUU